rnacentral:rRNA from 1 species
UACGAGAGGUGCAAGCGUUAUUCGGAAUUAUUGGGCGUACAGGGUGUGUAGACGGUAUAUUAAGUCAACUGUUAAAUGCUCUGGCCUAACCAGAGAUCUGCGGUAGAAACUGAUGUACUAGAGGGUGGAAGAGAGAAGUGGAAUUCUCGGAGUAGCGGUAAAAUGCGUAGAUCUCGAGAGGAACACCGAUGGCGAAGGCAGCUUCUUAGUCCAUUCCUGACGUUGAGACACGAAAGCGUGGGGAGCAAACAGG